rnacentral:rRNA from 1 species
GAUGAACGCUGGCGGCGUGCCUAAUACAUGCAAGUCGAGCGAACAGACGAGGAGCUUGCUCCUCUGACGUUAGCGGCGGACGGGUGAGUAACACGUGGAUAACCUACCUAUAAGACUGGGAUCACUUCGGGAAACCGGAGCUAAUACCGGAUAAUAUAUUGAACCGCAUGGUUCAAUAGUGAAAGUCGGUUUUGCUGUCACUUAUAGAUGGAUCCCCGCCGCAUUAGGUAGUUGGUAAGGUAACGGCUUACCACGGCAACGAUGCGUAGCCGACCUGAGAGGGUGAUCGGCCACACGGGAGCUGAGACGCGGUCCAGACUCCUACGGUAGGCAGCAGUAGGGAAUCGUCCGCAACGGGCGAAAGCCUGACGGAGCAACGGGGCGUGAGUGAUGAAGGCCUUCGGAUCGUAAAACUCUGUUAUUAGGGAAGAACAAAUGUGUAAGGAACCAUGCACGUCUUGACGGUACCGAAUCAGAAAGCCACGGCUAACUACGUG